rnacentral:lncRNA from 1 species
ACCUUUGUGAUUCUUGAACCUGGAGGGGCGCAAAACCAAAAUUGAGUGGGUCAGUAAAACAAUUCUUUUCUAAAUCCAAACAUUUCUCAAAACGUUGUAACCCCUCUCCGUAAAACCUGUAUACUUUCCCAGAAAUGUAAAAUAUAAAUAUACAUAUAUAUUCUCAAUACUUCAAUACAUUAACUCAACAUUUUUUUUUCUUUAUCAAUCAUGCCAUGCCAUGUCUAAUUCAACAGUUAAGUAUGGAUGCAUCAACAAUAAUCAUAUCAGGUGCAAGAAAGUAAUCAACCGGAGGCCCUCUAAUAGCCCUGCACGGUUGAACCUAGAGCUCAAAAUCUAUCACUCUCACACUCUGCCGGAGUCACUCCGCGUGACUUGUCCGGCCUUCUGCACACAAGUUACGCUCUAGUGCUUUCUCAUCAAUCAUCUGUGCACAUAAUCUAAGGUCACCCACCAGUCGAAAUCUCACUAACACUCUUCGACUGGCCCGUCGCACCCACUCCGCGUGGACUGUGCGACCAGCAUCUACUUGGAUCCAAGGCGAGCGUGCGAUGCGGUGAAUACUAUAAGCACUAAACCAUGGUGCAGGAUUUGAGCUCAAUAUACAUCAACAUCAUCAUAACAGUAAUUAAAUACUCACCUGAUACUCACCUGUGCGUCCGCCGCACCAUUCAUUCAUAUGCAUCAUAUAUCUCAAAUCAUACUUUUCAUAUCAUUUCAUGCAUGGCAAUUCAAUUUACAUUUCCAUAUAUAUUUCAUAUACUUCUAUGCAUGAUCUUUCAAUUCACGUUUUCAUAUCAUUCUAUAUACCUUUCAUUUAAAACAUAAUUUCAUUCUAAUUCAAUUUCUGGGAAAGCGUCAAGUAUAUAUAUAUACGGAAAACAAAACUGCCCACUCACAGAAUACAUCGACGUGUCGAAGGUCCCUGAGCAUCCUUUGGCCAUGCCCGAUGUCCGUAUAAUCCUCGCCUAUACGAGAAGUAACCAAAUUGACGUUAUUUAACGCAUAACCUAAUUCUUAGCUAAUAACUCCUCAUAUAUUGCUCAAAUUGGGUAUAUGAAUAUACCACCGUGACCUACACAACCUCAGGAUCAUCCCCAUAUUUUUAAAAUCAUUUUUGGAGUCCUCACGCGCCCCCACGCGCCUGACGUGGCACGGACCUACGCGCCCCCCACGCGCGGCCACGUGCCAAGCACACUGACGGUGUCAAUUGACACCGUCAGGAAUAUUCCGUUAAAACCCCGGAAUAUUCCGUUAACUUAACCUUUUUCCGUUACUGCCGUUAGGAAUAUUCCGUUAAAUAUAACGGAUUAUUCCUUCUUCUUCUCCGGUCGUCCCUCGCCGGACUCCGGUCACCGGAAACUGGGGAAUAUUUCAAAUCCACUAUUCUCCUUCGUUUUUCAUCCAAAUUUCUCGAAUUUUACACCAAUUUGAAGCCCUAAACAUCUACUUUCACG